GGUCAGUGAUGAAAUAGCCAAAUCUGAGCAUCAGAAAACCUGCAGUCUACCUAAUACAUGAUCUCUGUAGUACUGAGA
rnacentral:snoRNA from 1 species